UCAUCUUCGGGGGUAGAGCACUGUUUCGACUAGGGGGUCAUCCCGACUUACCAACUCGAUGCAAACUGCGAAUACCGAAGAAUGUUAUCACGGGAGACACACGGCGGGUGCUAACGUCCGUCGUGAAGAGGGAAACAACCCAGACCGCCAGCUAAGGUCCCAAAGUCAUGGUUAAGUGGGAAACGAAGUGGGAAGGCUCAGACAGCCAGGAUGUUGGCUUAGAAGCAGCCAUCAUUUAAAGAAAGCGUAAUAGCUCACUGGUCGAGUCGGCCCGCGCGGAAGAUGUAACGGGGCUAAACCAUGCACCGAAGCUGCGGCAGCGACACAUAGUGUUGUUGGGUAGGGGAGCGUUCUGUAAGCCUGCGAA
rnacentral:rRNA from 1 species